GGGCUCAAGUUUUCAGUGACUACUGCAGCAAAGAGCAGUUACAAAGGCAACAGGAAGAGCUCCCUUACUCCUAUGUCACAGUCGUAUUAUUCAUUCAUGCUGAACACCAAUAGUUCAUGCAUUCUUCUUCCAAACAUGUGGUAAGUUUUCACAUCAUUAACCUCUUGAAACAGGCGAAGUUAUGUUACAUGUUUUGCUCAAUAGAAUGUGAAGGAAGUGGCAUAUAUAUCACUCCCAUGUUGAAGCAUAUACAAAGUGGUAUGUAGUUCCUUAUUUUUUCUCUUCUUUUGGUCACAGCAAAGGUGGAACUGUGUGUUACAAAGCAGUUAGAAUGUUCAGCCGUCACAUGUGUGACAGUCGCCCUAGUGACUCUUCCAGAUUUGCAGUAGAUCUUGUCUGGCUGGCAAGUCCAAACCCUGCAGCUCAGGCAGCAGACUGGAGACCCAAAGAAGAAUUGACAUUGCAGCCCCAGUCCACUGAGGCAGAAUUCCCUCUUUUUCAGGGAACAUCAGAUUUUUUUUCUCUUAAGGCCUUCAACUGAUUGAUGUAUAUCCACAUUAUGGAGAGUAAUCUCCUUUACUAAAAGUUCACUGAUUUAAAUGUUAAUCUCAUCUAAAAAAAUACCUUCACAGAAACAUCAAGACUGGUUUUUGACCAAAGGUCUGUGUACCAUGGCUUAGCCAAGUUGGCACAUAAAAUUAACCAUUAUAAUCAACUUUAUAAAGGAGCCUAGAACUCUCCCAGUUUUUACCUUUCCCCUACAAUGUAUAUUAUGUGAUUGACUCUCUGGACUAAAUCCCUAAUAACAGUUUAACAUAUCACUCCAGUUUUAGAGGGAUUUUUAUUUUAAUGAGAUGAAGUUUCUAACCUAAAAUGAUUGAAGUCUCAAUAUAUAAUUUCAGUUUUAUUUGA